CUUUGUCUCCCCUGUGGCAAC
rnacentral:miRNA from 1 species